rnacentral:rRNA from 1 species
UGGCCUUGGGGGGCUGCUAUUAUGCAGUCGAGCGAACUGAGUAGAAGCUUGCUUCUAUGACGUUAGCGGCGGACGGGUGAGUAACACGUGGGCAACCUGCCUGUAAGACUGGGAUAACUUCGGGAAACCGAAGCUAAUACCGGAUAGGAUCUUCUCCUUCAUGGGAGAUGAUUGAAAGAUGGUUUCGGCUAUCACUUACAGAUGGGCCCGUAGUGCAUUAGCUAGUUGGUGACGUAAUGGCUCAGCAUGUCAGCGAUCCGUAGCCGACCUGAGAAGCUGAUCGGCCACACUGGAACUGAGAUACGGUCCAGACUCCUACGGGAGUCAGCAGUAGGGAAUCUACCGCAAUGGACGAAAGUCUGACGGAGCAACGCCGCGUGAGUGAUGAAGGCUUUCGGAUCGUAGAGCUCUGUUGUUAGGGAUGAACAAGUACACGAUUGAACUAGGCUGGUACAUUGACGGUACCUAACCAGAAUGCCACUGCUAACUACGUGCCAGCAGCCGCGGUAAUACGUAGGUGGCAAGCGUUGUCCGGAAUUAUUGAGCGUAAAGCGCUCGCAGGCGGUAUCUUAAGUCUGAUGUGACAGCCCCCGGCUCAACCUGGGAGGGUCAUUGGAAACGGGGGAACUUUAGUGCAGAAAAGGAGAGUGAAAUUCCACGUUUAGCGGUGAAUUGCGUAGAGUUGUGGAGGAACACCAGUGCCGAAGGCGAUUUCUUGGUCUUUAACUGACGUUGAGGAGCAAAAGCGUGGGAAGCGAACAGAAUUAGAUACCCUGGUAGCCCACGCCGUUAACGAUGAGUCCUAAGUGUUUGGGGGUUUCCGCCCCUUAUUGCUGCAGCCAACGCAUUAGGCACUCCGCAUGGGGAGUACGGUCGCAAGCCUGAAACUCAAAGGAAUUGAGGGGGGCCCGAACAAGCGGUUGAGCAUGUGGUUUAAUUCGGAGCAACGCGAAGAACCUUCCCAGGUCUUGGCAUCCUCUGACAAUCCUAGGGAUAGGACGUUCCCCUUCCGGGACAGAGUUACAGGUGGUCCAUGGUUGUUGUCAGCUCGUUUCGUGAGUUGUUGGGUUUAGUCCCGCACCGAGCGCAAGCCUUGAUCUUUGUUGCCAGAAUUCAGUUGGCCACUCUAAGUUGACUGCC